GUGGGGAAUCUUGCGCAAUGGGCGAAAGCCUGACGCAGCCAUGCCGCGUGAAUGAUGAAGGUCUUAGGAUUGUAAAAUUCUUUCACCGGGGACGAUAAUGACGGUACCCGGAGAAGAAGCUCCGGCUAACUUCGUGCCAGCAGCCGCGGUAAUACGAAGGGGGCUAGCGUUGCUCGGAAUUACUGGGCGUAAAGGGCGCGUAGGCGGACAGCUUAGUCAGAGGUGAAAGCCCAGGGCUCAACCUUGGGAUUGCCUUUGAUACUGGCUGUCUUGAGUUUGGGAGAGGUGAGUGGAACUCCGAGUGUAGAGGUGAAAUUCGUAGAUAUUCGGAAGAACACCAGUGGCGAAGGCGACUCACUGGCCCAAUACUGACGCUGAGGCGCGAAAGCGUGGGGAGCAAACAGGAUUAGAAACCCUUGUAGUCC
rnacentral:rRNA from 1 species